rnacentral:pre_miRNA from 1 species
AAAGUACUCCCUCCAUCCCAAAAUUCUUGUCUUAGAUUUGUCUAGAUACGGAUGUAUCAAGUCACAUUUUAGUAUUAGAUAUAUCCGUAUCUAGACAAAUCUAAGACAAGAAAUUUGGGACAGAGGGAGUAGUUG